ACACAAAUCCAACGUUUUCAUCUUCAGCCAUGAUAAAGCAAAUAAAACAUAAGUUUAGUUCUAAGGUUUACAUCUUAGUUCAUAAUAGAUAUGUUCUGAUUUUUUAAUCAAGUUUUGAAAUAAGAUUGCAUGUUUUUCCUAAAACUGUAUCUUUAACAAAAUUAUUUUGUAUCAACUUAGUUAUUAACCAAAUCAGUUGAUUUUUUUUCUGCUAACUUUAAAAUGUCCUUUCCAUUUUCACUCCACAGGGUCCUUUGGAUACAAGAAAAAAUUCUCUUUCAGUGUCUGAGAAUAUUUUGUAUUAACAUUUUCUUGUCAAAUUCAACUCAUAGAAAUCAGCACUGCUUCCUGAUAACAAAGAAGGAAUCCAAAACUAUCAUCAUUUCCCUUUGUAUACUUAAAAAAUAAAUGCAAGGCCUCUUCUGUUAUUGCUAUCACUGUGGAGACGAAUACUAAAAACAUUCAUAUAAACAAUAGAACGUGCAGCUUCAUCUGAAGCCAGGCUUAGAGGCGUGUAGUAAAAAGGGAGUGUCGUCUUGACCAAUGAUGAAUCACAUUGCAUGGGCCAGUGACUGCUUCAUUUUGUGUGUCGGUUUUCAAAAUAAAAGCCGAUGAGUCAUAACUGACAUGCUUCAUGGCAUGGGUUACUGUAUUUGAUUGCGCAUCAGAGGAGUAUUUGUUUUCAGCAGUGGCCAAAAUAAAAGGAACGUUUUAUAGUUUAUGUGUCAGGGUUCCUGUGUGCGUGUGUGCGAGUGCGAGCAACACAUCUCUUCCAGCGAGGAUCUUGGUGGAGAGCCUGGGCAGCCUUCACAGGUGGAGCUCAUCAGCCUCAUCAGAGUGCUGGGGAUAAAGGAGCAGCAGAGCCUUCACUCAGCGCUGGAUGAUUAACGUCUACUGGUUUUUGUCACUGGAUCUCUCUAGAAGAAUCAGUUCAACCGUUUUCUCCUCCUGUGAAACUCCCCAGCAAGUACCUACCUGCCUGCCUGCUUCAUCGUUCCCCCUCAUCUCCACACAGGACCCCUGGGCAACUUUCUUCCACGCUUCACCAAGUCCAUUCAAAAACGCCACGGAUCGCAUGACACUGCCACUCCCUGAUACAUCAAGGAAACCUGUAAAUUGUUGCUUGUUUAAAAGAAAUAAAACCUAUACCUAAUUGAACUUGUUGAUUCUGCAUGUGGGUCAGAAGAUUAAAUCCGAACAUGUCAUUAUGUAUAUUAACAAUUUUGAUGAUGGCACUCAUCAAAAUGUAAUGUUUGUUACCGGUUUUCUCAAUUGGUGAUCAUGGUGUAUUUUAUUACUUUUUAUUUGUGUGUUUUUAUUAUGUAAAGCACUCUGAAACUGCAUUGUUGCUGAAAUGUGCUACACAAAUAAACUUGAUUGAAAUGGAGCCAGGAAGAAGAAAAAAAUUGACAUCUGGGAAUACUUCGAGAUGAUCACUCACAACAUUCUUAAAUAAAAAUAAUUAACCCCUUCCCCUCCAAAAUU